CUACGUACUGGUCUGUUACAAAAUUGUAUUGGCUUGUAUUUAUUGGUCCGACUAGGAUCCAGUAAUGGUAUAUGGCAUCUGUUGGUCCGAUCAGAAUAUAUGAAGGCAUCUUUUUUCCAGUGUUAUCGGGUGAUACAUGUCUGUGUACCACCCAAUGCACUGGUAUGGUACUGUCCUGAUGGUGUAUGAAAACUAGUACAGGAUGGGUAUUUAAAUUUUUGGUUUUAGGCUUGGAAGAAUCUGAAAGAGGUUUCUCUGGGUACUAAUCAUAACCUGUGUGGGUAUCAUAUUUACCAAUAUCCCACCGACGAUGGAGGAAAGUUUCAGUUGGAGGUGUCUUAAAGAGCCUUAACUUGGUCAAUAAUGUUCAGUUUUGCAAUUGUCCAUACUAGUGUUGUUCCAAUUACUCAUUAAAGUUUCUGGUUGAAUUUGCAUGUAUUAAAUGUCUCUGUUCUUGAAUAUUCAAUAACGCACUUAUUUUUAUUGCUUAUUCUAUAUCAACAAAAACAUGAAGAGUUGACAUGAAUUCUCGACUGACAUACACGCUUUGAGCUUGUGGACCCAUAUUGUGGUGAUAAUUCCAACUCAAAGGAUGUAACGACUCAAAGGAUCUAUCUAGACUUUUUAAGACAAGUUUCGCCUGAAAAUUAAACUGCUUUUGUUGCCCUGAUGCAACAUUCUACAUCUUCCUUGCAUGGGUCAACAUCCAUCGGAUUUACUUUCUAUGGCGCCUAAACUGCUACUUGUUCUGCAUGUUUCAGAGUAUCUCUUGAUGCAAGUUAUACUGGAUAUCCUCCAUUUGCUCCCUGGAUAAGAUGCUAUUAGCAAAUCCUCCGUCGCGAAUAGGCUUCACAAAAGAUGCUGAUGACGUCCAUGUCUUCCAUUCUCUGCCUCAGAGCAGCAGCGACGGCGAUUGAGAGACUUGGUUCGUGAGUUUGAUGUUCAGAAUAAUUUUGAUGAGUAAUUACGUUUAAUCUUUUUCCGAUAAUAGAAAAGAAGCAAGUUGCAUAUUA